rnacentral:rRNA from 1 species
AUUGAACGCUGGCGGCAGGCCUAACACAUGCAAGUCGAACGAGUGGCGGACGGGUGAGUAAUGUCUGGGAACCUGCCCGAUGGAGGGGGAUAACUCCUGGAAACGGUAGCUAAUACCGCAUACCAUCGGAUGUGCCCAGUUUGGAUUAGCUACUAGGUGGGGUAAAGGCUCACCUAGGCGACGAUCCCCAGCUGGUCUGCGAGGAUGACCAGCCACACGGGGACUGAGCCACGGUCCAGACUCCUACGUGAGGCAGCAGUGGGGAAUAUUGCACAAUGGGCGCAAGCCGGAUGCAGCCAUGCCGCGUGUAUGAAGAAGGCCUUCGGGGUGUAAAGUACUGUCAGCGAGGAGGCGUUACUCGCAGAAGAAGCACCGGCUAACUCCGUGCCAGCAGCCGCGGUAAUUC